rnacentral:rRNA from 1 species
AUUAGUGCUUGCUGAUACACUAUAUUUUUUUUCAAAAAAGGGAUGAAUAAUCUCACCAGGCCCGGACACUGGAAGGAUUGACAGAUUGAGAGCUCUUUCUCGAUUUGGUGGGUGGUGGUGCAUGGCUGUUCUUAGUUGGUGGAGUCAUUUGUCUGGUUAAUUCCGAUAACGAACGAGACUCUGUCCUGCUAAAUAGAGUUAACGUCAUUUUUUUUGCGUUAACUUUUCUUCUUAGAGGGACUGGUGGCGUCUAGCCACACGAGAUUGAGCAAUAACAAGUCUGUGAUGCCCUAAGAUGUUCCGGGAUGCACGCGCGCUACACUGAAGGGAUCAGCGUGUUUUCCCUGGCCGAGAGGUUCGGGUACCCGUUGAACCCCCUUCGUGGUAGGGAUCGGGGCUUGCAAUUAUUCCCUGUGAACCAGGAAUU